UAAUACCAGCUCCCCGAGUGGUAGGGACGAUUAUUGGGCUUAAAGCGUCCGUAGCUGGCUUGACAAGUCUUUCGUUAAAUCCAGCGACCUAAUCGUUGGGCUGCGGGAGAUACUAUCUAGCUUGGGGGCGGAAGAGGUCGACGGUACUCUCGGGGUAGGGGUGAAAUCCUAUAAUCCUGAGAAGACCACCAGUGGCGAAGGCGGUCGGCUAGAACGCGCUCGACGGUGAUGGACGAAAGCUGGGGUAGCAAACCGGAUUAGAUACCCGGGUAGUCCCAGCCGUAAACGAUGCGGGCUAGGUGUCGGAGUGGAUACGAGCCGCUUCCGUGCCGCAGGGAAACUGUUAAGCCCGCCGCCUGGGAAGUACGGUCGCAAGGCUG
rnacentral:rRNA from 1 species